GAUGAACGCUAGCUACAGGCUUAACACAUGCAAGUCGAGGGGAAACGAUAUUGGAAGCUUGCUUCCGAUAGGCGUCGACCGGCGCACGGGUGAGUAACGCGUAUCCAACCUGCCCACCACUUGGGGAUAACCUUGCGAAAGUAAGACUAAUACCCAAUGAUAUCUCUAGAAGAAAUCCGAAGGAGAUUAAAGAUGUAACGUUGAUGGAUGGGGAUGAGUCUGAUUAGCGUGUUGGCGGGGUAUCGGCCCACCAAGGCGACGAUCAGUAGGGGUUCUGAGAGGAAGGUCCCCCACAUUGGAACUGAGACACGGUCCAAACUCCUACGGGAGGCAGCAGUGAGGAAUAUUGGUCAAUGGACGAGAGUCUGAACCAGCCAAGUAGCGUGCAGGAUGACGGCCCUAUGGGUUGUAAACUGCUUUUAUAAGGGAAUAAAGUGAGCCUCGUGAGGCUUUUUGCAUGUACCUUAUGAAUAAGGACCGGCUAAUUCCGUGCCAGCAGCCGCCGUAA
rnacentral:rRNA from 1 species